CAUGUGAUAUUCACAAGUUUUGCGAAUUUCGUUUGCUAUAUCGCUCAUACAUCAUGUGGAUACCGGACGAGAGUCCUCCUCCAUAUGUGGAUUUAUAUCCCCGGGUUAAAAGACGCACCAUCUGGAAAGCGAGGAUCAAAAAUCUCCUACAAAGGCUAAGAACUUUUCUCGAUACGGUCAAGGGAGCUAGGAGGGAGAGAGAAUGGGAAGAGGCAAUAUUAGACA
rnacentral:sRNA from 2 species